CAUGGGCCUGCAUGGUAACAAGGUGCUAAAGACAUAAUGCAAGAAAGCCCAUCUCACACCAGUACAGACUCCAGCCUUAUUAAAGCUCUGGACUAGUUUCCAAUCGUUCUCUAGGCUGAUUUAAAAAUACAGUGCAUGAGCUAGGACAUUAAAAAUAAAAAGCUUCAUAGCAGGUUCAUUCCUGGGCUGUUUUUGACUUUGAUGUAAGGAAGAUGUGUGGAAAAAUCUACAGCACUGGGUCUUGGCAUCAAUCUUUAAGGAAGGUAUUAUCCCAGAUACGUGGCUUAUAGCAUCUACUGUAGGGAAGUCCAAGGCUAUAAUUAGGCAUCCCUCAAUGUUGUCAUGUUAGGUAUCUUCGGAUAAUUGGUGCCACCCACCUGGUUAUCCAUAUGCUUUACUGUAGAGUAUGAUUAAUUCUCCCCUUUUUCAAAACAAUAAGCAUUUUAUGCAGUGAGCACACCUUUAUGAGCACAAAAAUUCUUGUGUAACAGGAAAAGAAAGCCCCUAAACCCACCAUUCUUCUGGGUGCAGAUCAGCCCAGUAAAUGGCAUGUAGGUCUUAGUGUCCCUAAGUUGUUCGAGUGACAGGAGGGCCCCCAGAUAAGGCAAGCUGCUCAAAAUCUGCCGUUUGUCCAGAAAAUACAGCCUUUUUUAAUUCCAGUUUUUGCCUCCUGCACUGACGCUUCUUGAAGAGAGCAUCCUCGGAUUGCCGUGCACCCAGCUCAAGGGCUGCACUCACACAACCAGCCCACCUCUCCCCCAAAAAGCCUGAGAAGUUUGAAUUGUGGAAGUGGUGAAUACGCUACUGGAAUCCUUUAAGUAGCUGAGCACCUGAGCAAUUUGUGAUGUAUUUCAUUAAGCUGCUGAAAGUUGUAUUUGCUUCUCCUUAGCCUCCAUCCCCAGCUGCCCCAGCAUCGCACCAGGCUUAGGAGCAGGGAGAGCAGCUAACCAUUGCAGUUAUUAGUCACUAUUCUCUUCUUCUUCGGAGUCAUUAACAUCAAUUACUAACCACUGCAUUGUCAAUUAAGACUAUCACUUGCUGCUAUUCACUGCUAAUGUGCUAAUUGUCAUCAAUUUACUGCUUCAAUUAUGUGGUCAUACACUCGCCUCGAGGUACGCUGAUUUGAUGUAAGGAUCCUGAGGAGCAACCUGCCUCUCUCCGUGGUUUUAAUGCAAGAGAAGGAAACCGGGUUGAGUCUGAGCACGUUGUGUGCACCUGCAGUAUGGUGAAAAAUCCUUCGGGCAGACAACUGGAAUAGAUCUGCAGAUCUCGUUCAUUCUGUGUACGUUUUGCAU
ensembl:lncRNA